rnacentral:rRNA from 1 species
UUCGCAAUGCCCGAAAGGGUGACAAUGCGACGCCGCGUGUGGGACGAAGGCCUUCGGGUUGUAAACCACUGUCAGCCCGGAUGAAGGCGGAAGGGUUAAUAACCUUUCCGAUUGACGGUACGGGCGGAGGAAGCCACGGCUAACUCUGUGCCAGCAGCCGCGGUAAUACAGAGGUGGCAAGCGUUGUUCGGAUUCACUGGGUGUAAAGGUCAUGUAGGCGUUCUGUUAAGUCGGGCGUGAAAUCCUAUGGCUCAACCAUAGAACUGCGCUCGAUACUGGCAGGAUUGAGUACGGGAGAGGUAAGCGGAAUUCCAGAAGUAAGGGUGAGAUCUGUAGAUAUCUGGAAGAACACCAUUAGCGAAGGCGGCUUACUGGUCCGAUACUGACGCUGAAAUGAGAAAGCUAGGGGAGCAAACAGGAUUAGAUACCCUGGUAGUCCUAGCCCUAAACGAUGGGCACUAAGUAGAGGGGUUUU